CGCACUGCUUGUGCUGGGCGCUGAUCUGGAGGCCCCUGAUCGAAAGGGACGCCACUGGAGCUGCUGCGGGAGAUGGUAGCGAAUACUGAUGUGGACAUUCAAGCUGCAAUAGUGGAGCUACAUGUGCUGCUAUAGAUUGGUCCUUGCAGCUUAUGAAGGCAUCAACUAUUGGCGGCACAAAAUUGUGGAGCUUAAGAUUCCCCACCCUUAUUUUUGAAGGAAAGCUAAAGUUCGGGGUGCUAAUCUCCGAGGAUUUUCUCAAUGGAGGGUUUAUUUAACACUAACAAGCCUUUCAAGUUUUUAUAUGGUAAUAUGGUGAUAGGUUGGAAUGUUUGAUCACCCAGGAAUGUGGAUUACUAUCGCAGGAUAUUUUUCCUCUUGAUGGUGCUUCC